AUUGAACGCUGGCGGCAUGCCUUACACAUGCAAGUCGAACGGUAACAGGUCUUCGGAUGCUGACGAGUGGCGAACGGGUGAGUAAUGCAUCGGAACGUGCCCAGUAGUGGGGGAUAGCCCGGCGAAAGCCGGAUUAAUACCGCAUACGACCUGAGGGUGAAAGGGGGGGAUCGCAAGACCUCUCGCUAUUGGAGCGGCCGAUGUCAGAUUAGCGAGUUGGUGGGGUAAAGGCCUACCAAGGCAACGAUCUGUAGUUGGUCUGAGAGGACGACCAGCCACACUGGGACUGAGACACGGCCCAGACUCCUACGGGAGGCAGCAGUGGGGAAUUUUGGACAAUGGGCGCAAGCCUGAUCCAGCAAUGCCGCGUGCAGGAAGAAGGCCUUCGGGUUGUAAACUGCUUUUGUCAGGGAAGAAAUCUUCUGGGUUAAUACCUCGGGAGGAUGACGGUACCUGAAGAAUAAGCACCGGCUAACUACGUGCCAGCCGCCGCGGUAAGAC
rnacentral:rRNA from 1 species